AUUGAACGCUGGCGGCAUGCCUUACACAUGCAAGUCGAACGGCAGCACGGGGGCAACCCUGGUGGCGAGUGGCGAACGGGUGAGUAAUACAUCGGAACGUGCCCCGUAGCGGGGGACAACCAGUCGAAAGACUGGCUAAUACCGCAUACGCUCCACGGAGGAAAGCAGGGGAUCGCAAGACCUUGCACUAUGGGGAGCGGCCGAUGCCCGAUUAGCUAGUUGGUGAGGAAAGGCUCACCAAGGCAACGAUCGGUAGCUGGUCUGAGAGGACGACCAGCCACACUGGGACUGAGACACGGCCCAGACUCCUACGGGAGGCAGCAGUGGGGAAUUUUGGACAAUGGGCGCAAGCCUGAUCCAGCCAUGCCGCGUGCGGGAAGAAGGCCU
rnacentral:rRNA from 1 species